CACGCCGGGGCCGGCAGAGACCAGUGGGCCUUGGACCACGUGGAAGUCGUUCUCACGCGCAAGCAAACCUACAUGAUGAACUUUGCCAGACAGACCGGCCUGCGUCACUACUACAGCCGUAAGAGGCGGGCACUGCGACUGCAUGCCUAGGCCUGUGCUGAGAAAGGGAUUGGCUUCCUCUGACCUGCCAAUCACACUCCAUCCUCCCGUUCCCCUGACAACACGUUGCCCUGUUGAGUCCCAGCCGCAAGUGGAUUCCAGUCAGCCUUAGACCAACCUACCCUACCCCACCCUACCCUACCUACCUACCUACCGACCUACCUAUCCUAUUCUAAGAUACUGGUCAUUCAUUUGGUUUACACUGCAGCCAAUCAAGGCCUUCCCCAAACACACGCAUUUGGCGGGAAGACUUGGAAGGAAGGAGCGGCAAAGGCAGCCAUUUUGUUAUUAUGGAUUCUUUGAUUUGGUCGUUCUGUUUUUUUGAUUCAUGGACCUUUGCGGUAUCCGGUUGUUUUAUAAUGAUUUGCUGUUGGUUGUUCUGAUUCCUGUUCCCAGUUGUGAAGCCGCCUCCGCUGGCUCUGUCCCUUGUCACACCCCAACUCCCUCCUCCUCCUCCUCCUCCAUCACCCCCACGCCUCCUCCACCACCACCACCUCCUCCGCCUCCUCCUCCUCCACGUCCUCUUGCCACACUGUGAAGCCCCAGCGAUAUUAAAC
ensembl:lncRNA